GCUGAGACGGCUGCAGGAGAAUUAAGUGGCUUGCAGGGUGUUGCAGACAACUGCCCAUAUUCAAGAAUGCAGAGCACCUCGACCGCCUUACAGACUAUUCAUCCUCCAUUUUACUUCACACCCAUACACUACAUCUAAAAAAAAACAGAACCAUGUCUGCAGAAGCAGUGAAACGACAAAUCCUUCUUUCUGUGGAUGCUCUGGCCAUUUCUCUCGACCGAGUUCCUUCUUUAUCUAGCAUUUUUGAGGCAUGCGCGGCGGCGAAACUGCUUCGCAAUCGACUCUUGCGCGAGCGCACUCGCGUUGUAGAGCGCAUCGAGGCACUUCGAGAGCGUCAGAUCUACAAUGAAACCACUGAUGAGGACUUUGACUACGAUAAUGACGACGCUGAAGCUCAGCUUGCCGGAGGCGACGUGAGUCGUACAGAAUUCAUAUUUAUGUGCGAAAUGAUGGUGGCAGAAAAGCUGGUGGUACCGUUGCUCUUGGCGCAUGGAAUGAGCUUCAGUGACACACUGCUUCCCCAGCUCCUCAAGCUGUUGGCGGUAAUGCUGCUACCGAUACCGCGCUUUUCUGCAAACGAGGUUCUCCAGAAAGAUAUGCUGCAAAAGAUAAAAACGCGCUGUGGCACAGACGAGUUUUUUGCGUUGCUAGUGCAGUGCGUAGCACCUAUUGCAGAAAAGCGAACAACAGGCGAGCUGCACCGUGAGGAUGUAAUUAUUCUUGAAAUUGUUCUCACGGUAAUCACGUACUUGCUGGAUGGACACCCAACGAACACAGAGCGAAUUAUUGGUGCUUUCUGUCGAAACCACGGCGUCGAGCUCCUUCUAGUGGUGAUAAACCAGAAUUACUCCCGGAUUCACGGCAUCAACGCGGCUGCAAAUAGUGAUUCAAGCAACGAGGCCGUGAACAAUUUAGACGGUAGAAAGAAUGAGGGCCAUGAAAAAGAUACAAGUGGCGUGAGCCUCAAAUUAGAUCAGGUGAGGGAUGAAAUUCACCUGGAGGAGGAAGGGAGUGAUGUCGGUCUCGAAGAUGAUGACUCUGUGCCCGCAUCGCGAUCCUCGGAUAUGAUGCACAGAGCCCUUGACCAGGAGUUUGAAAAGCAAGUUAGCAAUCUCCUGGAAAGCGAUGAACAGCUUUGGAAGUGGAACUGCCUUGUUUUGGCUGCAAUGGCAAGCAUUAUCUGGUGUGUCCCCGCAGAGGAGCUGGCACAUUUGACAAUGCUGGGCCACACGAGUGACUCCUCGCCAGACCGAGUGCUUUCUACACUGCUAAACGGCCAGCAUUUUCGUGACUGCAAGAAAGCGAGCGACAAGUGGCGUUUUGUGGCUCGUAGCCGCAAUGGGGCCGUCACUUCCAAUGGAAUUCUUGUCCGUGCUUCGUCUGGAAGCGUGACAGGUGGCCGAGCCAUUGGCACUGUCUUUUCCUUGCUAGGGCCACGGCGAAAAGACCCACUGGAGGCGAUGAAAGAUGUUGACCUGCGCAAGCGUGGCCGCUUUGUCAAGGGCAUGUACCAAGACCUCACGCCGCAGUGUAACAUUCCACUGCCCACGAAAAUACAGCUUUCGCACCAAAACAGCGCUUUUUUGAGCUUUGGUUUCGAACCGCUGAGCGUGAUGACAUUCAGAAAACUACAAGAUGCUGCCGCGGCUGUCGAGAGCGCCACGAAGGAGCAUAAAGAGGUCGUUGUGGGAUACAAGGGGUCUGGCGAGACAGUGGAGGUAACGUCGCCUCUCGACACCGCCAUGUACCAAAACCUGGGUAACGUGCUGCACUACAUGACAAUAUGUCGGUGUAUUCUACGGUACGUUAGGCUUAUCACUGAGCAGCUUAAAACGGAGAAGCAGUCGUUUCUGGUUGUGUUUCCGCAGCAGUGGCAAAGUGUCUCGGCGAUUAUUUCACUGGACUACGUGGAGUUAGGAUUUUCUGUCCUGCGCUCCUUCCUCGAUUGCAAAGAUAUUCGCCGUCGUGAGGAUAUCUCGAUUGCUGUGGGGUAUUUGGCCGAAAUACUUCUCCUUUUGAAUUCGCUGCUGCAGGGCGAGAUAGCUGCCGAUCCUGCCGUGCAGGUUGCCGCUCACGCUCUGGUGUCCUCUGUCCUCUACAAGGAAGAGAAUAUCAAGGCCGUAUUCGGCUUGCUGUCUGAGUACUCGAGACGGGUCAUUGCAAUUCGCAAAGCGCAAGUAUUCACACUUUUCACGUUUUCGGUCUUUCAGCUGAUGGAAAAAUGCAGCUACAAGGGAAACCUCCUUCUUCCGAAGCGUUCCAAGCAGCAAAAGAAGACAGCGCCGGCGGACGAGGCGGAAGAUAUGGGUGGCGCAGAGAACCAAGACGACAACGAGAGUGUCGACUCUGCUGCUUUGGAGGAUCUCUCUGAGGAGAUGCUGCGGGGCAUGGCAGACAUGAUCGACGACGAAAAAGGCGAUGACAACACGUGGCGGCCUGACUUUGAAGCGAGCGUGCAGAGCAGUGUCGCUUUGGAGCAAAAGGUGCCCUCUGCAGCUGCAGAUCUUCCCGAGCCGGCAUUCGAACCUGUGGGUGGUAGCGCGUCCGUGGACGGCGACGGACUGGGACCGUCAAAGAGGGCCACAUCACAAGGGCGACCUUCCUCCAUCGCCUCAAGUGACCGCACCGCCUUGUCGACAAUGAGCUCUGAGCGGGAAGUGGCCGUUAGCGGCUUUUUUCAUCGUCUGGCGUCGCCGAAAAACAUCAGCCUCGUGUACUCAACUCUCCGCCACUGGCGCGUGAACGACGCAGACGUUAACAUCGCAUUGACAUUUCUGAUGGACACUUUGGUGCGCCAUAACUGUGAGAGCGUCUUCUUCAACGUCGCAUUUUUACUGCUGAUGCGAGAGGUGCUCGUCAACGGCGAGAAAACGCACGCGCCGCUUUAUGCCGUGUGUGAUCGCAUCGUGUACGACUUUUUCAAUCCUUCGUUUGCAAAGGCGCAAGAUGCCCGUGCCGCGUCCGUGCUUCAGCUUGAGGUAGAGAAUGGCAUGCUGAGUGGGGCGCAGUCCUAUCUCGGGUUUGAAGUUUCGCUGCGCUGCACGCGCGCGUUGUUCAACCUGAGCACACUCGAUUACACGUACAUUGAGGAGAAAGGGAUGCCGCAUCUGAUGAGCUACACGGCAAUACCGCUUUCGCAUGAGAAUAUCAGCGACGCGAAGCGGGAAGAGUUCACGGCGGUCGCGGAUGAGACCAUCAGCACACGCUCUCCAGACUCCAGAUCACGUCGUCAGCGUCGAACAGCGACGUCCGCCGGCGACACGAGCCAGCGAGAUGGCUCCAAAUUAGCUUCCGAGGUGGAGGACGGUGAUGAGCGGGCGGUGCUCAGUCCGAGCCCUGCGGCGGAGGGUUGCGAUAACAAAUUGGAGCGCGGAUGGAAGCGGCGCCAUCACCACGGUCACGGCGAGAAGAAACGAAGGCGGCACGACGUCUACGAUGCAGUGGCUGCCGACGAAGACGACGCCAGCGGCAGGGACAGCGAGUCCGCCACAGACAUGACAAAGACUGAGGACGUGGCAGCUGCCACAGCGGCCCAGCCGGGUGCCGUAGCGGCGCCCUUAUUUGGUGCCGCGAAAGGAAUGUCGAUGGCCGAAGACGCUCAGUAGUAUCUCCCUUGCUUUUCUGUUGUCUGCGUGAGUUUACACAGCAAACUGUAAAGGCGUAUCAUCUCCUCGUGGCCGUAUAUUCUUUGGUGCUAUUUCUAGUACCACUGCAAAUUCCUGGUGACUUCGGACACCUCAGCAUGCUAUCAGGGCCCGGUGCACCCUCCGUGGUGGGAAGCCCGGCAGCCAUGCAGCCCCCGCGAAAUGCCGAGCCACCCCUGGCGGUGACAGGGCCGAGUGCCUACACCACAGGGAGGCCAGGGCGACCUAUGGCUACUGAUGUCGGCCGUGCCAGAUCGUGGAUGGCGUUGCGUCGGAGAGACCUGCGGCAGUAGACACACUAGUGCCGUCCACGCGGAGGGCGGGGUGUCAGCGUGGCUCGGACGCGGCUCCCCCGGCCCUCACACUGCCUUUGCUGGUGGUGCGGAGCCUGAGAGCCACCCCGAGCUGCAUGCACCUGGGGUGGGGACCGGCAUGAUGUGAGCGGCUGUGAGGCGACGUGCGAAGCGGAGCUGGGUAGAGUUUGGUGCAGGGGCCGCGCUCUCAGAUGACUGGGCCGGCAGCAUUCUAACGCGUGUCUCCCGCUGCACCGCACCAGGCGAUGGGGGCCUGCGGCAUUCCGGCUUCGGCGGCGUUUGAGCCCGUGUUGCACGGCAGCGAAACGGGCAUCUUAAGAAUGCAGAUGACAAGUUGCGUCGUUGCGAGUGUAGGCGAGUGAGGCACAGGUGUCCCCUCCUCUGCCGGUUUGAUUUCGAGCAUCUCUGCUUUUCCUUUGCCUGCAUAGAAGACUUGCCAUAGAGAC
rnacentral:misc_RNA from 1 species